GAUGAACGCUGGCGGCGUGCCUAAUACAUGCAAGUCGAGCGAACAGACGAGGAGCUUGCUCCUCUGACGUUAGCGGCGGACGGGUGAGUAACACGUGGAUAACCUACCUAUAAUACUGGGAUAACUUCGGGAAACCGGAGCUAAUACCGGAUAAUAUAUUGAACCGCAUGGUUCAAUAGUGAAAGACGGUUUUGCUGUCACUUAUAGAUGGAUCCGCGCCGCAUUAGCUAGUUGGUAAGGUAACGGCUUACCAAGGCAACGAUGCGUAGCCGACCUGAGAGGGGGAUCGGCCACACUGGAACUGAGACAGGGUCCAGACUCCUACGGGAGGCAGCAGUAGGGAAUCUUCCGCAAUGGGCGAAAGCAUGACGGAGCAACGCCGCGUGAGUGAUGAAGGUCUUCGGAUCGUAAAACUCUGUUAUUAGGGAAGAACAAAUGUGUAAGUAACUAUGCACGUCUUGACGGUACCUAAUCAGAAAGCCACGGCUAACUACGUG
rnacentral:rRNA from 1 species